CCUACGGGGGGCAGCAGUGGGGAAUUUUGGACAAUGGGCGCAAGCCUGAUCCAGCAAUGCCACGUGCAGGACGAAGGCCUUCGGGUUGUAAAGCACUUUUGUCCGGAAAGAAAUCGCGCUGGUUAAUACCUGGCGUGGAUGACGGUACCGGAAGAAUAAGCACCGGCUAACUACGUGCCAGCAGCCGCGGUAAU
rnacentral:rRNA from 1 species